rnacentral:miRNA from 1 species
UCUUCUUCUUCUUCUUCCUCA